rnacentral:rRNA from 1 species
UACGUAGGGUGCAAGCGUUGUCCGGAAUUAUUGGGCGUAAAGAGCUCGUAGGCGGUCUGUCGCGUCUGCUGUGAAAACUCAGGGCUUAACCCUGAGCUUGCAGUGGGUACGGGCAGACUAGAGUGCGGUAGGGGAGUCUGGAAUUCCUGGUGUAGCGGUGAAAUGCGCAGAUAUCAGGAGGAACACCGGUGGCGAAGGCGGGACUCUGGGCCGAUACUGACGCUGAGGAGCGAAAGCGUGGGGAGCAAACAGG